rfam:Ictidomys tridecemlineatus contig003560, whole genome shotgun sequence.
GGGGUUGUGGCUCAGUGGUAGAGCACUUGCCUUCUGUACAUGGGGCAAUGGGUUCGAUCCUCAGCACCA